GGAAUCUUAAGCCAAUUAUUAUUUUGAUGCAUUCAUAGCUGUCCGUCCACUUCUUUGUUUGAAGUCCCCCACUUCCAAACCUUACCCCUCUUUUUAUAUAUUCUCUUCUUUUUCAUUCAUUUUUCACUACUCUCUCUUUCUAAUCUUUUCUCUCCUUCACACACACCACUUUCCUUUCUAAAUUCUAAAUCUCUCUCCAUCCUAAAAUGGCUUCCUCUGCAGCAGUACAAAUUUUUCUCAUCUUGGGUCUUUUAGCCACUUCUUGUUUAGCACAAGCCCCAACUGCUGCACCAACAAAACCACCAACAGCAACCCCAGCACCAACAGCUCAACCACCUGCAGCAGCAACACCACCAACAGCAACUCCACCUACAGCAACACCACCUGCA
rnacentral:lncRNA from 1 species